AGAGACAUUUCACAUCAUUUCGCCAGGAUAACGCAAAUGUUGCUUUGAAGUGCUUUAAAACAUGCGAAUUCCUUCAUGGUCCAAAACACUUCGCUGUGAGUUUACCUCAACCAACUUUCAGUGA
rfam:Drosophila nebulosa putative mRNA localization signal for hairy (h) gene, complete sequence.